AUUGAACGCUGGCGGCAGGCCUAACACAUGCAAGUCGAACGAGUGGCGGACGGGUGAGGAAUGUCUGAGAAACUGCCUGAUGGAGGGGGAUAACUACUGGAUCCGGUAGCUAAUGCCGCCUACCAUCAGGUGUGCCCAGAGGGGAUUAGCUAGUUGGUGGGGUACCGGCUCACCAAGGCGAAGAUCCCUAGCUGGUCUGAGAGGAUGACCAGCCACACUGGAACGGAGACACGGUCCAGGCUCCGAGGGGAGGAAGGAGGGGGGAAUAACGCAAAAUGGUCGCAAGCUUGAUGCAGCCAUGCCGGGAGUAUGAAGAAGGCCUUGGGGUUGUAAAGUACGUUCCGCGGGGAGGCGUAACCCGCAGAAGAAGCACCGGCGAAUUCCGGGCCACAGCCGCGGUAAUUC
rnacentral:rRNA from 1 species